UACGGGGGGGGUAAGCGUUGUUCGGAAUUACUGGGCGUAAAGGGCUCGUAGGCGGCCAACUAAGUCAGACGUGAAAUCCCUCAGCUUAACUGGGGAACUGCGUCUGAUACUGGAUGGCUUGGAUUCGGGAGAGGAAUGCGGAAUUCCAGGUGUAGCGGUGAAAUGCGUAGAUAUCUGGAGGAACACCGGUGGCGAAGGCGGCAUUCUGGACCGACAUUGACGCUGAGGAGCGAAAGCGUGGGGAGCAAACAGGG
rnacentral:rRNA from 1 species